UAGAAUGAAAACAUAUUCUUAUCACUACAG
rnacentral:piRNA from 1 species